rnacentral:rRNA from 1 species
AUACGGAGGGUCCGAGCGUUAUCCGGAAUCAUUGGGAUUAAAGGGUCCGUAGGCGGGAAUCUAAGUCAGUGGUGAAAUCUUGCAGCUCAACUGUAAAAUUGCCAUUGAUACUGGAUUUCUUGAAUUAGUGUGAAGUGGUUAGAAUGUGUAGUGUAGCGGUGAAAUGCAUAGAUAUUACACAGAAUACCAAUUGCGAAGGCAGAUCACUAACACUAUAUUGACGCUAAGGGACGAAAGCGUGGGGAGCGAACAGGAUUAGAAACCCCAGUAGUCC